UACGUAGGCAGCGAGCGUUGUUCGGAGUUACUGGGCGUAAAGGGUGCGUAGGCGGUUGUUUAAGUUUGGUGUGAAAUCUCCCGGCUCAACUGGGAGGGUGCGCCGAAUACUGAAUGACUAGAGUGCGGGAGAGGAUAGUGGAAUUCCUGGUGUAGCGGUGAAAUGCGUAGAUAUCAGGAGGAACACCGGUGGCGAAGGCGGGACUCUGGGCCGAUACUGACGCUGAGGAGCGAAAGCGUGGGGAGCAAACAGG
rnacentral:rRNA from 1 species